rnacentral:lncRNA from 1 species
CCCUAGACCCUAGACAAUUCUAUCUAUAGUGGCUAAAAUAGUACACAUAGAGUUUGAUGAUUCUUCUAGAUUAAUGAUCCAUUUAACACCUAUCUUGUAGCCCCAUCAACGACUUGAUUGGCUUCCAUCUGUUCUUAGCUCAGUUUAACAAAUUCUGUCAAGUAAAAUUUCUUUCUUGUUUGAUGAGGCGAUACUGGGAUAUCCAUCUAUUUUCAGCUCAGUUUUGUCUGA